rnacentral:rRNA from 1 species
CAGUCGCCGCGGUAAUACAGAGGGUGCAAGCGUUAAUCGGAUUUACUGGGCGUAAAGGGCGCGUAGGUGGUUAUGUAGUGAGAUGUGAAAUCCCCGGGCUCAACCUGGGAACUGCAUCUUAUACUGCGUAGCUGGAGUGCAGUAGAGGGUAGUGGAAUUUCCGGUGUAGCGGUGAAAUGCGUAGAUAUCGGAAGGAACACCAGUGGCGAAGGCGGCUACCUGGACUGACACUGACACUGAGGCGCGAAAGCGUGGGGAGCAAACAGGAUUAGAUACCCCUGUAGUCCCUGUCUCUUAUACA